UCCAUGUUAAUGCUUUGCAGGGUCCGGUUCACAAUCACAGCUGAGCUCUACUGACAAGGGUCAACUCAGAGGCAAGAUGGAAGGGGCAACGCUCUAUUUAAAAUAAGACCACUAAUAGUGUCAUUUUUUAAAGGUUUUAUCUAGGGAAAAUAAAGCAUAUGUUCAAUUCUUCUCUUUUCCUCUUAGGAUAAAUUUUGUUUUUUUAGAGUGACUGUAACAUCCACCAUUUUACUCUACACGGAACUUUUCUGUUUUCCUGCUCAGUUUUACAGGACCUCUGUCCUACAGCUAUAAUUUUAUAUGAUGCCUUGCUGGCAUUGGCAGAGCAAAAGCAUUAUAUGUAGUUUCUCGUGCCAAAAGUUGUAGAAAGUUUUGUAGAACUAUGGAAGGGGAGAGAGCAAGAGGUUUGAAAUCAUAACAUUUUUAUCUGCAUUUUUUUUCCUCCUUUACACUGGUUGCUGUUACUUUAAAAUUCUUUUGGCGUUUAACUGGCAAUAAACCGGGCAAAACAAACUGUUCCUUCCCUUAGAUUGUGCAAUUUUUAUUGCUCUGUUUCAAAGCCACCAAAUAAGCCUUUUAGAAAAAUGCCUGUCUAACCAGCUUCUGUUUGUAAAGCAGUGGGGCUAUUAGCUGAUAAACCUCAGGGUGAAGUGGUGGUUUUCCAUGUGCCUCAAGUUUUUCAAAGAUAAUUUAGAGACAAUCUGAAGUUAAGUGACAUUGAUGACACUAGUUCCUAAACCAGACAAUUGCACGGAACUGAAUCAAAGACAACUGAGCUCCUUCGGAACUCAGCGGUCACGUAGACGCUCCAGCAAAUGCAGAAGUCAGCGGGACCUCACAGAGAGUGCUAAUUGCACACAGCAGCCUGCUCCACUUCUUCUCGGACUCAUGAAACCCCCUCUUAUGCCCUCAUUGAGCUGCUUGUCCUUGGGCUUCCCUUCAGCUAAGUGUGACUGAGCCCCAGCCAAUGGAAUGUGACUGUGACUGAGCCCUGGCCAAUGGGAUGUGAGUAUGACUGAGCCCUGGCCAAUGGGAUGUGAGCAAAAGAAUGCAAGCAGCUCCCAGGUAACUGGUCACAGCCUCAGAAAGGAAGCCUGGGUCUCUACUGCUGACCCUGUUCUUGCUGACUCCAAAGUGCUGACAUCUGAGCAGGUACCUUGGAGCCAGUGAUGCAGGCCAAGAGGAGAGGAAGACAGAGCCGCCAGCAGCCUUGCCCAUCGCCCAAGACUGUUACAACAGACAGAAAUACUGCUCCCUCUGUUAUAGAAGCUCAGCCUGCCCUUCAGUCAGUACACUGUGAUAACCGAUAUAUUUGAAUAUAUCUAACCAUCUCAUGUUGUGCUUUUCUAUUUUUACCAUUUAUAUUGUAACUCUUUUUUUGCUUUUCCUCUUUCUUGAAUUCUUUUGAAUUUGUUGAGGUUUUUUCCUAGCUUCAUUUUUCAAAUUCCUACCAAGUAUAAUUUAUAACCCCUAUUUUUUUUUUUUUUCUUUGAGGAAGAUUAGCCCUGAGCUAACUACUGCCAAUCCUCCUCUUUUUGCUGAGGAAGACUGACCCUGAGCUAACAUCCAUGCCCAUCUUCCUCUACUUUAUAUGUUGGACGCCUACCACAGGAUGGCUUUUGCCAAGGGGUGCCAUGUCCGCAUCAGGGAUCCAAACCGGGGAACCCUGGGUCUCCGAGAAGCAGAACCUUCGAAUUUAACCACUGUGCCACCACUGGACCAACCCCUAUAAACCCUCAUUUUAUUAUUUUAGUGUCAUUUAACCGUUUUCAUAAAUAAGUUGAAACAUAAUCAAUAUCUUUACCUUCCUUCAAUACAACACAAAGGCCUAAGAAUAUUCAUUGUAAUAUUUUUGUCUGGCAUUUUAUGUCUAACUUUUAAAAUUCUAUGAAACAAAACUUUCCUUUAUUUGGGUUCUGUUGGUUCACAUGUUCUCAGUUUUUGUGUCUCCAUUUUC
rnacentral:lncRNA from 1 species